GGCAUAACCCCGGGAAACUGGGGAUAAUUCCGGAUAACGCACAUAUGCUGGAAUGCUUUAUGCGUAAAAUGGAUUCGUCUGCCCAAGGAUGGGUCUGCGGCCUAUCAGGUAGUAGUGGGUGUAAUGUACCUACUAGCCAACAACGGGUACGGGUUGUGAGAGCAAGAGCCCGGAGAUGGAUUCUGAGACAUGAAUCCAGGCCCUACGGGGCGCAGCAGGCGCGAAAACUUUACAAUGCGGGAAACCGUGAUAAGGGGACACCGAGUGCCAGCAUCAUAUGCUGGCUGUCCAGGUGUGUAAACUACACCUGUUAGCAAGGGCCGGGCAAGACCGGUGCCAGCCGCCGCGGUAACACCGGCGGCCCGAGUGGUGAUCGUGAUUAUUGGGUCUAAAGGGUCCGUAGCCGGUUUGGUCAGUCCUCCGGGAAAUCUGAUAGCUCAACUAUUAGGCUUUCGGGGGAUACUGCCAGGCUUGGAACCGGGAGAGGUAAGAGGUACUACAGGGGUAGGAGUGAAAUCUUGUAAUCCCUGUGGGACCACCUGUGGCGAAGGCGUCUUACCAGAACGGGUUCGACGGUGAGGGACGAAAGCUGGGGGCACGAACCGGAUAAGAUACCCGGGUAGUCCCAGCCGUAAACGAUGCUCGCUAGGUGUCAGGCAUGGCGCGACCGUGUCUGGUGCCGCAGGGAAGCCGUGAAGCGAGCCACCUGGGAAGUACGGCCGC
rnacentral:rRNA from 1 species